ensembl:lncRNA
CCAUGCCCCGUGAAAACCCAAGCAGCAACCUCAGCCCCAGCACCCUAAAGCAAAUGUAAAACCCUUUAGUGGAAAAAUCCAAACCCACAGGCCGGAUUGUGCAUGACAGGAAGAGAGCUAGAAAGAUCAGCAGUGUCAGUAAAUGUGGUCCUAGAAUAGAAGGAAAAUGGUUAAGUAGAAUUACCAGAUGAUUUGAGGAAGUGAAUCAUAUCCUAAGCUACAAGGAAAGACAGAAAAUCCGUCCAAAUGGUCUUUGCCAGUCUCACCAGAGGGAAACUUCCUUCUAUUUCUUGGUGGUAUUUAGUAGUUCCUAGGAUCAGAAGCUUUAAUGGGUAUGCAGUUUUGCAUCCGUACAAGUCAUUUAACUUGAAUGCAGGAUCAGAUGAGAGAGAUGUAAUUCCAUGCAUUACGGGACCAGGCAAGGCAGGAGAGAGAUGGACACUUUGGUCUGUAAAUGCAUCAUCUCUUCAUCCUGGAAAGUGAGGUUUUUCUUCUUAGUGGCUUCCUUUCCACACAAGCCAGCGUGAGCCACGCAGCUCUCAGAGGAUACUCUUAGAGGAGGGCUUUUGGGGCCAGACAAAGCACGUCUCAAAAACUUCUGCUAUCUCCAUCAGCACUUGGUGGCAGCCUGCUCCACUGCAGGGAGCUUUGGCUCUGCUCGGUUGGAGCUACACCAGUCCACAGCCUCUGGAGCACCAAGGGAGAAUCUUUUUGCUGUUAAUAUCAGACUGUUUAGUACUAAAGUCCUCCUCUUUUCUCUG